rnacentral:lncRNA from 1 species
AAGUCAAGGAUCAUAAAAACGGACCAAAAGAACUUAGAGCUAAUACGCAAAGUCGGGGAUCAUAAAAACGGACCGAAAGAACUUAGAGCUAAUACGCAAAGUCGAGGAUCAUAAAAACGGACCGAAAGAACUUAGAGCUAAUACGCAAAGUCGGGAUCAUAAAAAGGACCGAAAGAACUUAGAGCUAAUACGCAAAGUCGGGGAUCAUAAAAAGGAACCGAAAGAACUUAGAGCUAAUACGAAAAGUCGGGGAUCAUAAAAAGGGACCGAAGGAACUUAGAGCUAAACAAAAAGUCGGGGAUCAAAAAAACCGACUGAAAGAACUUAGAGCUAAUACGCAAAGUCGGGGAUCAUAAAAACGACCGAAAGAACUUAGAGCUAAUACGCAAAGUCAGGGAUCAUCAAAACGGACCGAAAGAACUUUGAGCUAAUACUCAAAGUCGAGGAUCAUAAAAACGGACCAAAAGAACUUAGAGCUGAUAUGCAAAGUCGGGGAUCAUAAAAACGACCGAAAAACUUUGAGCAAAUACGCAAAGUCGGGGAUCAUAAAAAUGGACCGAAAGAACUUAGAGCUAAUACGCAAAGUCGGGGAUCAUAAAAACGGACCGAAAGAACUUAGAGUUAAUACGUAAAGUUGGGGAUCAUAAAAACGACCGAAAGAAGUUAGAGCUAAUACGCAAAGUCCAUCAAAACAGACCGAAAGAACUUAAAGCUAAUACGCAAAGUCAGGGAUCAUAAAACCGACCGAAAGAACUUAGAGGUAAUACGCAAAGUCGGGGAUCAUCAAAACGGACCAAAAGAACUUAGAGCUAAUACGCAAAGUCGGGGAUCAUAAAACCGACCGAAAGAAGUUAGAGCUAAUACGCAACGUCGG